GAAAAUAAGAGCGUAUGGUGGAUGCCUAGGGUUUCGAAGACGAUGAAGGACGUGGCGUGACUGCGAUAAGCAUCGGGGAGGUGUCGAGCAACCUUUGAUCCGGUGAUUUCCGAAUGGGGUAACCUAAUUCGAGUAAUGUCGAAUUGCUUUCCGAGUAACUUCGGACUGCGUGCACCUGGGGAAGUGAAACAUCUCAGUACCCAGAGGAAAAGAAAACAAUCCCGCGGAAUGCGGGACAUUCCCUAAGUAGCGGCGAGCGAAAGGGGAAAAGCCCAAACCUCGCUUCACUAUUCAGGAAUUUAUUUUUGAUUAGUGGGCGGGGGGUAGUAAGAAAAAGACUUUCCGGAGCGUAUAGCUAUGUUCCUGGAAGGGAGUUUAGAAAUAUAGAAGUUGUUUAGGGGAACGGCCCUGGAAAGGCCGGCCAAAGAGGGUAAUAGCCCCGUACUUAAAAAACCUUUUAUGCUCCUUGUCUUUUUUCUUGAGUACUUCGAGAACAAGAUAAGCUCGGAGGAAACAGGGAGAACUACUCUCCUAAGGCUAAAUACUUCGAAACACCGAUAGUGAACUAGUACCGUGAGGGAAAGGUGAAAAGCAGCCCGGUGAGGGCGGUGAAAUAGUACCUGAAACCAUAUGCUUACAAGGACUCGGAGCCCGUUCACGCGCAAGCGUGUUCAGGGUGACGGGGUGCCUAUUGAAGAAUGAGCCAACGAGUUAUAGUACGCUGCUAGUCUAAUUCCGUUAUAGCGGGAGGAGGCGUAGGGAAACCGAGUCUUAAUAGGGCGUUUGCAGUUUGCUAUAGACCCGAAGCCAGGUGAGCUACCCCUGGCCAGGAUGAAUCCCGCCGAAAGGCGGGAGGAGGUCCGCACCGGUUAGUCGUACAACGCUAUCGGAUGAGUUGGGGGUAGGAGUGAAAAGCUAAUCGAACCUGGGAAUAGCUGGUUCUCUCCGAAAUAGCUUUUGGGCUAGCGUCCGCUACAACUACGCAGGUAGAGCUACUGGAAGGUUCGUAAAGGGAGAAAUCUCGACGUACCUACCAAACUCCGAAUGGCGUAGCUUUGGGCGGCCAGUCAGACUACGGGGGCUAAGCUCCGUCGGUCGAGAGGGCAACAGCCCAGAUCUCAAUCUAAGGCCCCAAAAUCUCUCUUAAGUGUAAGUGAGGCGGUGAGGUUUCAAUGACAGCGAGGAGGUUGGCUUAGAAGCAGCCAUCCUUCAAAGAGUGCGUAACAGCUCACUCGUCAAGAGACCUUGCGCCGCAGAUAAUCGGGACUAAAGAGAGUGCCGAAGGUGAGGCUCCGCUAACAUUUGAAAUAUUAAUGUAAAGCGGGGGGUAGGAGAGCGUUCCUAGUGCAGUGAAGUCCACGGCGUGAGCCGGGAUGGAGCGCUGGGAAGUGAGAAUGUUGGCACAAGUAACCACAAUGCCGGUGAAAAACCGGCACGCCGCAAACCUAAGGUUUCCUUGGCAAUGAUUGUCAGCCAAGGGUUAGUCGGUCCUAAGCCAAUGGCGAAAGCCGCAGGUAAUGGACACACGGUUAAUAUUCCGUGACUUCCUUCUUUUUCGAUGAAGGGACGAAGGUUAGUAUGUUCUGCGUGUUAUUGGAUUCGCGUUUGUGCGAUGAGGAGUGUCCCGUAGAAAAUCUCGGGACGGCCUUUUGGCAACUCUUAGUCGAGCAAAAAUUUUCCGCCUCGGCGGAGGAAAUGGAACAAAGCAGCCUUCCUAGAAAAGCUUCUAAGAUUAUGAAGAGGGAAACCGUACCGAAAACCGACACAGGUGGGUGAGGCGAGUAGCCUCAGGCGAACGAGUGAGAGAUCCUCAAGGAACUCGGCAAAAAAGCGGCCGUAACUUCGGAAUAAGGCCUCCCCGCCAACGUAUAGAAAUAUAUGGCAGGCGGGGCGCAGCGAAAGUACCCCUGGCGACUGUUUAUCAAAAACACAGCUCCCUGCGAACUCG
rnacentral:rRNA from 1 species